AACGAACGCUGGCGGCAGGCCUAACACAUGCAAGUCGAACGCCGUAGCAAUACGGAGUGGCAGACGGGUGAGUAACGCGUGGGAACCUACCUUACGGUCGGGAAUAGCUCAGGGAAACUUGGGGUAAUACCGGAUACGCCUUACGGGAAGAUUAUCGCCGUUAGAUGGGCCCGCGUAGGAUUAGCUAGUUGGUGAGGUAAUGGCUCACCAAGGCGACGAUCCUUAGCUGGUCUGAGAGGAUGAUCAGCCACACUGGGACUGAGACACGGCCCAGACUCCUACGGGAGGCAGCAGUGGGGAAUAUUGGACAAUGGGCGCAAGCCUGAUCCAGCCAUGCCGCGUGAGUGACGAAGGCCUUAGGGGUUGUAAAGCUCUUUUGGCGGGGAAGGAUAAUGACGGUACCCGGAGAAUAAGUACCGGCUAACUUCGUGCCAGCAGCCGCGGUAAU
rnacentral:rRNA from 1 species